AAAGGGAGACCUAAUUCGGGUAGGAGACGAAAAAAAAGUAGUCCCUACCAAGAAUCAAUCCCAAAAGGUCGGAGCGAGGCGAAAUUGGCUUUCAAACUAGGUUCUGGGUUCACACAAGACCUGAAUCAGGAACAAGGGCUAUUAGCUCAGGUGGUUAGAGCGCACCCCUGAUAAGGGUGAGGUCCCUGGUUCGAGUCCAGGAUGGCCCACCUGCACAGGUGGCAAAAACAAAAAAGCUCCGAAUCAGCACCUUAUCUUACUUAUAUAGUAAGAGAGAAUGCUGGCUCUGAGUUCAGAGUCCAGAGGAACCUUGAAAACUGCAUAGAGCUAGGUGAAAAAGCCAAAAAAGAAGACCGUCAG
rnacentral:tRNA from 1 species